rnacentral:rRNA from 1 species
GAAGCCCAGCUUGCUGGGUGGAUUAGUGGCGAACGGGUGAGUAACACGUGAGUAACCUGCCCUUAACUCUGGGAUAAGCCUGGGAAACUGGGUCUAAUACCGGAUAGGAGCGCCCACCGCAUGGUGGGUGUUGGAAAGAUUUAUCGGUUUUGGAUGGACUCGCGGCCUAUCAGCUUGUUGGUGAGGUAAUGGCUCACCAAGGCGACGACGGGUAGCCGGCCUGAGAGGGUGACCGGCCACACUGGGACUGAGACACGGCCCAGACUCCUACGGGAGGCAGCAGUGGGGAAUAUUGCACAAUGGGCGCAAGCCUGAUGCAGCGACGCCGCGUGAGGGAUGACGGCCUUCGGGUUGUAAACCUCUUUCAGUAGGGAAGAAGCGAAAGUGACGGUACCUGCAGAAGAAGCACCGGCUAACUACGUGCCAGCAGCCGCGGUAAUACGUAGGGUGCGAGCGUUAUCCGGAAUUAUUGGGCGUAAAGAGCUCGUAGGCGGUUUGUCGCGUCUGUCGUGAAAGUCCGGGGCUUAACCCCGGAUCUGCGGUGGGUACGGGCAGACUAGAGUGCAGUAGGGGAGACUGGAAUUCCUGGUGUAGCGGUGGAAUGCGCAGAUAUCAGGAGGAACACCGAUGGCGAAGGCAGGUCUCUGGGCUGUAACUGACGCUGAGGAGCGAAAGCAUGGGGAGCGAACAGGAUUUAGAUACCCUGGUAGUCCAUGCCGUAAACGUUGGGCACUAGGUGUGGGGACCAUUCCACGGUUUUCCGCGCCGCAGCUAACGCAUUAAGUGCCCCGCCUGGGGAGUACGGCCGCAAGGCUAAAACUCAAAGGAAUUGACGGGGGCCCGCACAAGCGGCGGAGCAUGCGGAUUAAUUCGAUGCAACGCGAAGAACCUUACCAAGGCUUGACAUGUUCUCGAUCGCCGUAGAGAUACGGUUUCCCCUUUGGGGCGGGUUCACAGGUGGUGCAUGGUUGUCGUCAGCUCGUGUCGUGAGAUGUUGGGUUAAGUCCCGCAACGAGCGCAACCCUCGUUCCAUGUUGCCAGCACGUAAUGGUGGGGACUCAUGGGAGACUGCCGGGGUCAACUCGGAGGAAGGUGAGGACGACGUCAAAUCAUCAUGCCCCUUAUGUCUUGGGCUUCACGCAUGCUACAAUGGCCGGUACAAUGGGUUGCGAUACUGUGAGGUGGAGCUAAUCCCAAAAAGCCGGUCUCAGUUCGGAUUGGGGUCUGCAACUCGACCCCAUGAAGUCGGAGUCGCUAGUAAUCGCAGAUCAGCAACGCUGCGGUGAAUACGUUCCCGGGCCUUGUACACACCGCCCGUCAAGUCACGAAAGUUGGUAACACCCGAA